UCGAGAAUCUUCGGCAAUGGGCGAAAGCCUGACCGAGCGACGCCGCGUGUGGGAUGAAGGCCUUCGGGUUGUAAACCACUGUCGUAGAGGAGGAAGGCUCCGUGAAGAACGGGGUUUGACCUAUUCUAGGAGGAAGGACGGGCUAAGUUCGUGCCAGCAGCCGCGGUAAUACGAACCGUCCAAACGUUAUUCGGAAUCACUGGGCUUAAAGGGUACGUAGGCGGCGCUGUCAGUCGGGUGUGAAAUCCCACGGCUCAACCGUGGAACUGCGCCCGAUACUGCAGUGCUCGAGGGAGACAGAGGUAAGCGGAACUGAUGGUGGAGCGGUGAAAUGCGUUGAUAUCAUCAGGAACACCGGUGGCGAAAGCGGCUACUGGGUCUCUUCUGACGCUGAGGUACGAAAGCUAGGGUAGCGAAGGGGAUUAGAUACCCCGUAGUCCUAGCCGUAAACGUUGAGCACUUGAUCGAGGGCCCCCCAUAGGCUCCCGGUCGUAGCGAAAGUGUUAAGUGCUCCGCC
rnacentral:rRNA from 1 species